rnacentral:lncRNA from 1 species
CGUGGCUCUGUGGCUCACUUCCUGUGGUUGUGGCAGCGACAGCGAUGGAGACUGCAGCUCGACAGGAAUGAACUACUUCCUCAAGCCUACCACCAACGUGCUGCUCCAUUGUCUAUCACCGCUGGGCCUUCCUCCUCAGUCAGGCAAACUGGAAGGAACAUGAGAUGGAAUCCGGAGGAUGGCUGCAGCAAUGCGGAUGUAGGAGACCAAGAUGAGUGCACAGGGAGCCAGGAACAGGACCACAGCCCCCAGGAACACAUGCUGAUUGUCAUGUAUGUGAGCAGGCAAUCUUCAUGAGCAGUUGUUCUGCUUCUCUGGCUGAACCCUGACGGAUACAUACCCAUAUGUUGAGGCUUUGCCAGAGGUGACAAGUCUGUUUUCUUUUACAACAUCAGCUUCUCUAAAGUCCUCUGACCCCCAAAGGACUUAUACUUCAAGACUCCCCUACUCUUCUUUCACUGUAAGAUUUUUCCCCUGUCCCUCUACACAUCCUGUCAUCUCUGGCAUUACUAUUUAUGGCCUGAUUCUGCCUUGAAUGACCCUGAAGUCCCCAAGACUCACAUGUGUAAAAAAUUUCUUAGUUUGAUUUUGAUCAGCUCCUAAGAGAGAAUUUCUAGGUGAGAGAAGGAACUGUAAAAACGGUCCAUCAACUGCAUUCUUCAAAAAUGUUGAUGUCAUAAUAGGCACAGAAAUGCUGGGGAACCUUUAUAGAUUCAAGGAGACUAAGGACAUAUAAUAACUAAAUAUAGUAUGAGGUUCUAGACUGGAACAUGUACUGAAAGAAAAGAAUGCUAUAAAGAACAUUUCUGGCUAAAUUGACACAAAUGAAAUACAGACAGUAGAUUAAAUAAAAUUCCAUGUUUCUGUUCAAUUUACCAACAUCGAUAACUAUACUGGGGGUAGGAAACAGAACAUCCUAUUUCUUAGGAAAUACUGAAAUAUUUAGGGGUAAAGGGUAA